UGGGGAAUAUUGCACAAUGGGCGCAAGCCUGAUGCAGCCAUGCCGCGUGUGUGAAGAAGGCCUUCGGGUUGUAAAGCACUUUCAGCGAGGAGGAAGGUGGUGAACUUAAUACGUUCAUCAAUUGACGUUACUCGCAGAAGAAGCACCGGCUAACUCCGUGCCAGCAGCCGCGGUAAUACGGAGGGUGCAAGCGUUAAUCGGAAUUACUGGGCGUAAAGCGCACGCAGGCGGUUUGUUAAGUCAGAUGUGAAAUCCCCGGGCUCAACCUGGGAACUGCAUUUGAAACUGGCAAGCUAGAGUCUCGUAGAGGGGGGUAGAAUUCCAGGUGUAGCGGUGAAAUGCGUAGAGAUCUGGAGGAAUACCGGUGGCGAAGGCGGCCCCCCUGGACGAAGACUGACGCUCAGGUGCGAAAGCGUGGGGCAGCAAACAGGAUUAGAUACCCUGGUAGUCCACGCUGUAAACGAUGUCGAUUUGGAGGUUGUGCCCUUGAGGCGUGGCUUCCGGAGCUAACGCGUUAAAUCGACCGCCUGGGGAGUACGGCC
rnacentral:rRNA from 1 species